rnacentral:rRNA from 1 species
GAGCUUGCUCCUCUGACGUUAGCGGCGGACGGGUGAGUAACACGUGGAUAACCUACCUAUAAGACUGGGAUAACUUCGGGAAACCGGAGCUAAUACCGGAUAAUAUAUUGAACCGCAUGGUUCAAUAGUGAAAGACGGUUUUGCUGUCACUUAUAGAUGGAUCCGCGCCGCAUUAGCUAGUUGGUAAGGUAACGGCUUACCAAGGCAACGAUGCGUAGCCGACCUGAGAGGGUGAUCGGCCACACUGGAACUGAGACACGGUCCAGACUCCUACGGGAGGCAGCAGUAGGGAAUCUUCCGCAAUGGGCGAAAGCCUGACGGAGCAACGCCGCGUGAGUGAUGAAGGUCUUCGGAUCGUAAAACUCUGUUAUUAGGGAAGAACAAAUGUGUAAGUAACUAUGCACGUCUUGACGGUACCUAAUCAGAAAGCCACGGCUAACUACGUGCCAGCAGCCGCGGUAAUACGUAGGUGGCAAGCGUUAUCCGGAAUUAUUGGGCGUAAAGCGCGCGUAGGCGGUUUUUUAAGUCUGAUGUGAAAGCCCACGGCUCAACCGUGGAGGGUCAUUGGAAACUGGAAAACUUGAGUGCAGAAGAGGAAAGUGGAAUUCCAUGUGGUAG